rnacentral:misc_RNA from 1 species
GGAAGAAGGGAAAGAGAAGAAAGGAAAGGAAAAGAAGUAAGAAAGAAGGAGAAGAAGAAGGGAGGAAGGAAGGGAAGAUUGCCGGAGUUUUUGGGGUUUCUCUAACAAGAUAGAACACCGGCAAAGGGAAACGAGAGAGCGACCUGAAAUACAAGAAAUUAAAAAGAUAAAUGGAGAAAAGAGAUUAGGAGCUAGCAGGAUUUCAGCAAGGGCAGUAACUUUUUCAUCCUUCCAAGAGAAGAUUUUGAGAAUGUGCUUUUAAUUGGAUGAAAAGGUGACAUUUGUGAGUUCGAAU